rnacentral:rRNA from 1 species
AGUGAACGCUGGCGGCAGGCCUAACACAUGCAAGUCGAACGGCAGCACAGCAGUAGCAAUACUGUGGGUGGCGAGUGGCGGACGGGUGAGGAAUACAUCGGAAUCUGCCUUAUCGUGGGGGAUAACGUAGGGAAACUUACGCUAAUACCGCAUACGACCUACGGGUGAAAGCGGAGGACCUUCGGGCUUCGCGCGAUAAGAUGAGCCGAUGUCGGAUUAGCUAGUUGGCGGGGUAAAGGCCCACCAAGGCGACGAUCCGUAGCUGGUCUGAGAGGAUGAUCAGCCACACUGGAACUGAGACACGGUCCAGACUCCUACGGGAGGCAGCAGUGGGGAAUAUUGGACAAUGGGCGCAAGCCUGAUCCAGCCAUGCCGCGUGGGUUAAGAAGGCCUUCGGGUUGUAAAGCCCUUUUGUCCGGAAAGAAAAGCACUGGGUUAAUACCUCGGUGUUUUGACGUUACCGACAGAAUAAGCACCGGCUAACUCUGUGCCAGCCGCCGCCGUAAAAC